rnacentral:lncRNA from 7 species
GGCCCAGGCUGGAGAUGGACCGGCACAGUUGGGGCUGCUUUGGGGGAGCUGGAGGGCCUGGCACAGUUGGGGCUGCUUUGGGGCAGCUGGAGGGACCUGGCACAGUUGGGGCUGCUUUGGGCCAGGUGGAGGGCCUGGCACAGUUGAGGCUCGUCUGGGCCCAGACAAAAGGGGCUCAAGCCCAGCCAGGGCCUUGGGGCACAGGAUGGAGAAGGACCAGGAACAGUUAGGGCUGCUUUGGGGCCCAGGCCGGUCGACGGCCUGGCACGAUUUGGGCUGCUUUGGGGCCCGGUAUCGAAGAGGACCAGGCUCAGAUGGGGCUGCUUUGGGGCCCAGGAUGGAGGAGGACCUAGCGCAGUUGGGGCCUACUCAGGGCUCAGUCCAAAGGGGGCCCAGGCACAGCCAAGGACUUGGGGCACAGGAUGGAGGAGGACCAGGCACAGUGGGGCUGCUUUGGGGCCCGGGCUGGUGGGAGGCCCGGCACAGCCAGAGCCUUGUGGCUGCACUCCCUCUGUACACUUCAACCUUGAUCCAUAAUCUGAAAUGGUAACUGGAGUGAAAGGCAGUAGCUGAUCCAGCUGCUUUCCUGUGUUUUAAUUUUCCUAAGAAUGGGGAAGGACUCAAGCUAGUAAACAAAGACCCCUUUCUGAAGAACAGGACUCAGAAAGUGUUAGCACAGAGCAGAUCUCCCAGUAGAGAUUCUUCCCCUUAGACAGGCAGCCCUUAAAUGAGGGUGGGGAGGGCUGGAGCCAGGCUCCACCCGUUUUUUGCCCAGGUGAAAUGCUUGCAGGUGUGCUCCACAGCAGAACGUGUUUUAAUGAAGCCUGUGGAAUCCAAGAAUCCUUUCUUCCUUCUUUCUUGUUUGUGUUUGUUGCCUGCAGUUCCAAGCAGGUGGACUCUCAGUGUCUUGCAAGUGACAGCUAGCAGCAGCAGGUCCAGCCAGGAGGCACAGCACCCUGCAACCUCCAGGGGCCUUUGUGCACCAGCAGAUGUUGAUGCCCUAGAAGCACGGUGCGGAGCACAUCCUGGGCUCAAGGUGCCACGGACUGGAAAAUGCUGCUGUGGCGGAGUUCCUGUGUGAAGACAAAACUCCCAGUCGCCCAGAAAUGUGGAGGCAGAAGAGCAGUGACAAGGUAUCUACAUGUCUAUCUGUGUAUGUGCACAGCAGGCCCAGCUGCCCCUGCUUCCUCCCUCCACGGAUCUGCUCCUGCUGCUGCUGCUGCUGGAGUCUCCUCUGGCCACGGUGGCGUGGGGCGAGUUCUUUUGUCAAGCAGGAUCUACCGUUUGUCAACCCCUUGUGACCGGGCCUGAUCCCCUGGUUGACCUUUAAUGAAUCGCAACGUUAUCCAUCCCAUAACCUACCCUGGCACCGAGGUAAGACUGAUAGGUCUGUAGCUCCCAGGAUCAUCUUCUGCCCCUUCGACCUUGAG